rnacentral:rRNA from 1 species
AGAGUUUAGUCAUGGCUCAGGAUGAACGCUAGCGGGAGGCUUAAUACAUGCAAGUCGAACGGUAACAUGGAAGCUUGCUUCUGAUGACGAGUGGCGCACGGGUGAGUAACGCGUACACAAUCUACCUAUCACAGGGGGAUAGCCUCGGGAAACUGAGAAUAAUACCCCAUAGUAUUUCCGAACCGCAUGGUUUGGUUAUUAAAGUUCCGGCGGUGAUAGAUGAGUGUGCGUGCCAUUAGAUAGUUGGUGAGGUAACGGCUCACCAAGUCUGCGAUGGCUAGGGGGCGUGAGAGCGUGAUCCCCCACACGGGUACUGAGACACGGACCCGACUCCUACGGGAGGCAGCAGUAAGGAAUAUUGGACAAUGGGCGAAAGCCUGAUCCAGCCAUCCCGCGUGAAGGAUGACGGCCCUAUGGGUUGUAAACUUCUUUUAUAUAGGACGAAACGCCUUCAUUUAUGGGGGCCUGACGGUACUAUACGAAUAAGCACCGGCUAAUUCCGUGCCAGCAGCCGCGGUAAUACGGAAGGUGCAAGCGUUAUCCGGAAUCACU